GUAUGACUUUGCGGCGCCGCCACGAAAUAAAACCAAUAUUUUCAAUUUGGUCGAAUGUCAUUCCGUUCAAAAAUUGAGUGCAUACACCAUGUUUUUAGACAUCUUAGGUUUUCAGUAGGAUGUUAAAAAAGACUGAUUAAUUCUGUCUAUUUGCACUCGAAAUUAUACGUUAGCGCUGGAGAAAACAAUGUAAAAAUCAAGUGCAGUACAGGCAAUCCCUUGAAAUCCAAGAGGUCUGAUAUAUUCAAAAGUUGCCGUUUUAUCUUAAACUUUUUCAAGAGUUUCAACUGUUUCCAGUAGCGGCUCGUGACUUGCAUAGUAGGUGAAUCACAUUUCAAAUCACCGAUUCCCAAUUAAAAAUAGUGUUGAUGAUUAGAAGAAUAUUGGCACAUACCUAGAUAUAACAUUACAUGUGUGAAUUUAAUUUUAUUAGUCUAUAAAGGUUUACAGGAAAAAAUAGAGGAUAAAUAGAGAUAUGAAAAUUACAGCUGAAUAAAAAUUGAAAGUAAA